CCACCCUGUCAGUGGGCAAAGAGACACCUCGUUGGUGAUGGUCUUGGAUCAGUCAGGGCCAGAGCAGAAGGCAGUCCUUUGGUUAUCCCAGCUUGAUGCCUGGCUAGGUGGCCAAAGCUGUCUUAUGCCCAGGACUCAUAA